CGACCUGCGGAACCUCAGCUGCUCGGCGCCAUGCACCUCCUCCUCGUGACGCCGUUGGCAUUUCGAAAUAACAAAAACGGUAUGACUCGACCAAUCGGUGACGGGACUGAAGCUGGCAGAAAAACGUUCCAAUGCUCGUUCGCACAAGAUUCAGCUUCGUCGACCAGUGACCUGGAGCUAAACCUUUGGGCGAAGUAAAACACGAGUUCCAGAGUGAAGAAUUGAAAAUAAUGGCGGUGUCGAAGACAUUGUCGAGUUCCAUUGAAGUUUUAAGGAACUGUCAACUUCCAUCCAUGUGCAAAGGGAAAGUAUUGGUGUAUCUGUAUUCUUGCCAGAGAAAAAUGAUGUCCGAGGAUGUUUUUUUUUUUUGUUUGUACUUGACAGAUCUUCGCGGAAAGAAUGGCGACUCUCGUCGAGAGGAAAUUUAUUUUUCAUAUCUGCAGACGCUACAUUGUACCGAAUUGAAGCCCAGCUGUGCUGCUUCAACCUCCGGUAGGCAGCCUAUAUUGUACGAUUUAUACCGCCACGAUGUUGUACCGACGUGUGCACGAAGUAUCAAACUACCUGUGGAACGUCAUGGUGGCGGAUCGACGAGGUUCCGAAGCGUUGCCGACUUCCCUGAUUACCGGUCCGGGUGUUCCGGGUACUUUUAGAAGGUGACAGGAGGCGACAUGGUG